GACAGAGGGUGCAAACGUUGUUCGGAAUUACUGGGCGUAAAGCGCGUGUAGGCGGCUAAGUAAGUCGGGCGUGAAAUCCCACGGCUCAACCGUGGAAGUGCACUCGAAACUGCAUAGCUAGAGUCCUGGAGAGGAAGGUGGAAUGCUUGGUGUAGAGGUGAAAUUCGUAGAUAUCAAGCGGAACACCGGUGGCGAAGGCGGCCUUACUGGACAGUGACUGACGCUGAGACGCGAAAGCGUGGGGAGCAAACAGG
rnacentral:rRNA from 1 species